rnacentral:rRNA from 1 species
GAUGAACGCUGGCGGCGUGCCUAAUACAUGCAAGUCGAGCGAACGGACGAGAAGCUUGCUUCUCUGAUGUUAGCGGCGGACGGGUGAGUAACACGUGGAUAACCUACCUAUAAGACUGGGAUAACUUCGGGAAACCGGAGCUAAUACCGGAUAAUAUUUUGAACCGCAUGGUUCAAAAGUGAAAGACGGUCUUGCUGUCACUUAUAGAUGGAUCCGCGCUGCAUUAGCUAGUUGGUAAGGUAACGGCUUACCAAGGCAACGAUGCAUAGCCGACCUGAGAGGGUGAUCGGCCACACUGGAACUGAGACACGGUCCAGACUCCUACGGGAGGCAGCAGUAGGGAAUCUUCCGCAAUGGGCGAAAGCCAGACGGAGCAACGCCGCGUGAGUGAUGAAGGUCUUCGGAUCGUAAAACUCUGUUAUUAGGGAAGAACAUAUGUGUAAGUAACUGUGCACAUCUUGACGGUACCUAAUCAGAAAGCCACGGCUAACUACGUGCCAGCAGCCGCGGUAAUACGUAGGUGGCAAGCGUUAUCCGGAAUUAUUGGGCGUAAAGCGCGCGUAGGCGGUUUUUUAGUCUGAUGUGAAAGCCCACGGCUCAAUCGUGGAGGGUCAUUGGAAACUGGAAAACUUGAGUGCAGAAGAGGAAAGUGGAAUUCCAUGUGUAGCGGUGAAAUGCGCAGAGAUAUGGAGGAACACCAGUGGCGAAGGCGACUUUCUGGUCUGUAACUGACGCUGAUGUGCGAAAGCGUGGGGAUCAAACAGGAUUAGAUACCCUGGUAGUCCACGCCGUAAACGAUGAGUGCUAAGUGUUAGGGGGUUUCCGCCCCUUAGUGCUGCAGCUAACGCAUUAAGCACUCCGCCUGGGGAGUACGACCGCAAGGUUGAAACUCAAAGGAAUUGACGGGGACCCGCACAAGCGGUGGAGCAUGUGGUUUAAUUCGAAGCAACGCGAAGAACCUUACCAAAUCUUGACAUCCUUUGACAACUCUAGAGAUAGAGCCUUCCCCUUCGGGGGACAAAGUGACAGGUGGUGCAUGGUUGUCGUCAGCUCGUGUCGUGAGAUGUUGGGUUAAGUCCCGCAACGAGCGCAACCCUUAAGCUUAGUUGCCAUCAUUAAGUUGGGCACUCUAAGUUGACUGCCGGUGACAAACCGGAGGAAGGUGGGGAUGACGUCAAAUCAUCAUGCCCCUUAUGAUUUGGGCUACACACGUGCUACAAUGGACAAUACAAAGGGCAGCGAAACCGCGAGGUCAAGCAAAUCCCAUAAAGUUGUUCUCAGUUCGGAUUGUAGUCUGCAACUCGACUACAUGAAGCUGGAAUCGCUAGUAAUCGUAGAUCAGCAUGCUACGGUGAAUACGUUCCCGGGUCU